GAUGAACGCUGGCGGCGUGCUUAACACAUGCAAGUCGAACGAAGCAUUUAAAACGGAUUUUUUCGGAAUGAAGUUUUUUAUGACUGAGUGGCGGACGGGUGAGUAACGCGUGGGUAACCUGCCUCACACAGGGGGAUAGCAGUUGGAAACGACUGGUAAUACCGCAUAAGCGCACAGCUUCGCAUGAAGCGGUGUGAAAAACUCCGGUGGUGUGAGAUGGACCCGCGUCUGAUUAGGUAGUUGGUGAGGUAACGGCCCACCAAGCCGACGAUCAGUAGCCGACCUGAGAGGGUGACCGGCCACAUUGGGACUGAGACACGGCCCAGACUCCUACGGGAGCAGCAGUGGGAAUAUUGCACAAUGGAGGAAACUCUGAUGCAGCGACGCCGCGUGAGUGAAGAAGUAAUUCGUU
rnacentral:rRNA from 1 species